rnacentral:sRNA from 1 species
CCCAGCCCUGACGGGCUGGGCUAACGUCUAGCGCGCCUACGGCGCU